AUGGUGCAAGGUUGCCUGAUGUUUCCCAGGUUUCAAUGGCCCAGGCAGAUAAAGGAAAUUCAGCAAGAUCAGAAGAAAGAAGGAAAAGGAAAACACCAGGAAAAUGAACACUGUCUUAUAAUAAAUAAGACUGAAAAAAGAUGUAUUUUCUUGUUAUCAAAGCAAUUUGUAUUCAUUACAGGAAAAUCAGAAAAUGAAGCUCAAAAACAAAACAAACAUAACACAACACAACCCAGUUUCCCUCACAGCAUCAUUAAUCAUUCCGACCAUCUCUGUGCAGGUUUCUCCAAACCUGCAUCCUGUCUAGGUAUCUAUCAAACAAAAUGGAAUUGUUUUGUAACUGUUUUUUUUCUAUUUAAUUUUAUUUUUAAGUAAUCUCUACACCCAACUCGGAACUUGAACUCACAACGCCAAGAUCAAGAGCCACACACUCCACCAACCGAGCCAGCCCCUGUAUAGGUGCCCCAUAACCUGUUUUGUAAACUGAAUUGUGAACGUCUUUCUGUAUCUGUAACUAUACCCCCACACUAGUGUUUUUAAUGUUUAAGGAGCAUUUGCUAUGCAAGGCACUAUUCCAAUUGCUGCAGUUUAUAUAUAAUCAUAGGUAAGAUCAUCUCUGUCCUCAUCUGAGUAUAACAUAAUUUUUUCCCUAAUGUUUAGGUCAUUUCCAUAUUUUUGCUUUUACAAACAAUGCUGUGAUGAAUAUCCUCAUAGGUAAGUCUUUGCAUAGACCCAUAAUUUUUCCAUAAUUGUGCUGGUGACUCUCUCUUUGCCCCUCUGCAUUACUCCCCUUCUUCUUUGCCUUAUUCUGUGGACUGUAUCAGUGGGCUCAUUUGCCCUCUGGCAGUGGGAAGCUCAAGGAGUACAUUGGAGGUGGGUGGUAUAUUCUGACUUCCUCCCUGCCUCCUUGUGGAUUGUCAUUAGCUGCAUUCUUGUACUGAGGUUGGCUCUGGUGCCUGGGCAGCCCUCUCCCGGGGCUUGGUUCUCAGGGAGUUGCUCACCCCAGGGUACCUCACCAUUCCUUGUUGGUUUCCCUUAACCUUGUCCUUGUUCUUAUAGAGAGUUCUUCAUUAAACCCUUCUCAGUUACCCCCUGGGAGUGUGCCAUCUGUUUCCUGGGAGGAGCCUAAAUGGUAAAAACAUGCUCCUACUCCUUGCAUAUUGUGCGUUCCUAACUGCUUGCCUGCAUUGGGAACCUGGGAUGGAUUAUGCAAAAAGGUCAAGAACUCCCUUUUCUCCUUUGACUUAAGGCCUGGGCACCAGUGACUACUGAGCAGCUAUCUCCCAUUUCUUUCUCCUGGACCCCUCUGUACCCCCAUGGAGAUCUCUCUCUCUUUAAAAAAAAUUUUUUUUUAUUGAAGUUCGAUUUGCCAACAUAUAGUAUAACAGGAGAUCUCUCAACUGGUGACUAAGGCACUCUGGUGGGGACACAAGAGAGAACCAAGGGAGCCCUUUAGCCCUCCUACCCAGAGCUGCUUUGACCUCAGGGUCUCUGCUACCUUCAUCUUGUUUUUCUUUUUAGUCCUUGAAAUAAUAUAAAUAUCCAUCUAUAUAUCUUUUUUUUUUUUUUUUUUUUUAGAGAGGGAGAGAAGGGGAGAGAGGAGAGGCAGAGAGAAUCUUAAGCAGGUUCCAUGUCCAGCACAGAGCUUGACAUGGGGCUCGAUCUCAUGACCUGAGCUGAAAUCAAGAGUCAGAUGCUUAACCGACUGAGCCACCCAGGUGCCCCUAGUCCUUGAAUUAAUAUAUUUAAUUAAUUUAUUUAUUGGAGUAUAACAUAUAAUGUUAUAUUAGUUUCAGGUGUACGACACGUUGGUUCAACAAUUCUAUAAAUUACUCAGUGCUCAGCGCAGUAAGCAUAGUCAUCCUCUGCCACCACAGGACAUUGUUACGGUAUACUGACUAUAUUCCCCACGCCGUUUAUUUUAUGACUAGAAGUUUGUACCUCUUCAUCUCCUUUAUUUAUUUUACCCAACCCCCAACCACCUCCCCUCUGGCAACCCCAGUUUGUUCUCUGUACUUAGGAAUCUGUUUUGUUUUUUAAGUUACAUGAAUAAGUGAAAUCAUGUGGUAUCUUUCUCUAAUUUCACUUAGCAUAAUACCUUCUACAUCCAUCCAUGUUGUUGCAAAUAGCAAGAUCUCAUUCUUUUUUAUGGCUGAGUAAUAUUCCACUGCGCACGUGCGCAUAUGUACAUAUUCUUUAUCCAUUCAUCCAUCGAUGAGCACUUGGGUUGCUUCCAUAAUUUGGCUAUUGUAAAUAAUGCUCCAUUAAACAUAGGGGUGCACAUAUCUUUUCAAAUUAGUGUUUUCAUUUUCUUUGGAUAAACACCCAGUAGUGGAAUUACUGGACUAUAUGGCAUUUAUAUUUUUAAUGUUUGGGGUUAUAUCUAUUCUAUUUUCCACAGUGGCUGAACCAAUUUACAUUCCUUCCAACAGUGCACAAGGAUUCCUUUUUUUCCACUUCAUCAACACUUGUUAUUUCUUGUCUUUUUUAUUUUAGCCAUUCUGACAGGUGUCAGGUGAUAUCUCGUUGUGGUUUUGGUUUGCAUCCCUGAUGAUGAGUGACGUUGAACAUUUUUUCAUGUGUCUGUUGGCCAUCUGGAUUGGAUAUCUUCUUUGGAAAAAUGUCUAUUUGGGUCCUCUCUUUGUUUUUAAAUUAGAUUAUAUGGUGGGGUUAUAUUUUUGUUUGUUUGCUUCUGGUGUUGAGUUGUUCAAGUUCUUUAUGUAUUUUAAAAAAUUUUUAUUUAUUCAUGAGAGACACACAGAGAGAGGCAGAGACAUAGGCAGAGGGAGAAGCAGGCUCCUCGCAGGGAGCCCGAUGCGGGACUCAAUCCCGGACUCCGAGAUCAUGCCCUGAGCCAAAGGCAGAUGCUCAACCACUGAGCCACCCAGGCGUCCCUCUUUUUGUAUUUUUGAUUAACCUCCUUUACUUUGUUUUUGAUGCCUGAACUCUUCCCUGAAUUAGGAGUGAUUGUAUGGCCAAUUCUUAUUCUUUUGAAUACCUGAGCUCAUAGCAAAAUUUUUCCUAUUAUAGUCUUAAGUGGUGUUUUAGUAUUCUAUUAAAUAGGCAGAAUUUUAUUUUUAGAGCUUCUAGCUUGGAGUCCCUGAUACUAUCUCUUCUGUGAUUUUCUCUUAUGUGAAUCACUAGAAAUGUUUUUUUUUUUUUUUCUUAAAAGUCUGCAUCCAGCUUUACCUUCCUUGCCUUUUGAAUUUUUAGAUAAUGCUAUCUCUUUCUUCAAAGAUUCUUCACACUUCUGUUUAAUCGAUUGUUCUUGGCUGUUCAGAAUUAAGUGUCUGUCCCAUUUCUUUUGUCUUCCUCCCGGUCAAUGAGAUCACUAGUAAGACUAGACUAUAAUGAUCAAAUACUCUUCUUUUUAGUGAUGUGAAACUUUCUGAUGUCCACGUAUUUGGGAUUCCCAUCUUAUUGCUGUGCUCCAGGCCCUUGUUCCUGGGUACAUUACCUUGUUCUGGAAUUCCAAAUCGCAGAGGUGGGCACUUGGUAGGAACUUUGUCUCAAAGUCAGAAGGAUCUAGAGUUAAAUCCAGUCACUUAUUGGCUUUGUCACUUUAAGGCUUCUAUCUUUACUGAGUCUCAAGUUUCUUGGCUUACCUCUCAAGGUUGUUGGGAGAAGUCAAUGAGAUAACUUGUAUAUAAUAAAUAAUCUAGCACAGCAUGUGGAAGAGUGGUCCCUUAGACUGUGUAACUUUCUCCUCCUGCUCUUGGCUCCUUUCUUUCUCCCCACCUGUCUCUCCUCCUCCCACUUGUCUUCCCACCUCCCUACCUGUCUUCCCUCUUCCCCAUUUUUCCCUCCAGCCCCUCCCUCCAUUCUUUUCUCCUUCCCAUCUUUACUUUCCCCUCCCUCCCCACUUCUUUUCCUCUCCCUUCUCCUUCUUCUUCCUCACUUUUUUCCUCUCCAUUUCUUCUUCUAUCUCUCUCCUCUCCCUUCCUCAUCCCCACUUUCCCCUCUCUCCUCCCCACUUUCUCUGCCAGUGAGACUUACAUGAGGAUAAGAGGGGUUAAAACCAAGGCAGAAACAUGCUAUAUGGUUUUGUUACUCCUUGGAAACAAACCAUAUAAUUUCUGAGAAUUAUAGUCCAAAGGAAAACUCUCAAUUGUAAUCAAGGCUUUUCCAAGUAUUUCUGAGUUCUUCCAUGAACUUUUUCCUUGUAACAUUAAGGACACAAAGAAUGAUGGGAAAUUGCUGAUAAUGAUCAUUAUUCUCCUGGUCUUUGGCUUGUCCAGUGUUCCAGAUUGAAGAUUUGUUGUGUUGAAUCAAAAGAUAAACCCUCAAAUGGGGCACCUGGCUGGCUUGGUCAGCAAGUUGAGCACACAACUCUUGAUCUUGGGGUUGUGAGUUCAAGCCCCAUGUUUUAGGGGUUGAGUUUGCUUAAAAAAAAAAGAUAAACCCUCAAGGUGAUUACAUAUAUGUCAAAUGGUCUUAUU
rnacentral:lncRNA from 1 species